CUGCAAGCGUUAUUCGGAUUCACUGGGCGUAAAGGGUGCGCAGGCGGCCGGGUGUGUCAGAUGUGAAAUCCCGAGGCUCAACCUCGGAACUGCGUCUGAAACUACUCGGCUAGAGUACUGGAGAGGGUAACGGAAUUCACGGUGUAGCAGUGAAAUGCGUAGAUAUCGUGAGGAACACCAGAGGCGAAGGCGGUUACCUGGACAGUUACUGACGCUCAGGCUCGAAAGCAUGGGGAGCAAAAGGG
rnacentral:rRNA from 1 species